GUGGGGAAUAUUGGACAAUGGGCGCAAGCCUGAUCCAGCCAUGCCGCGUGAGUGAUGAAGGCCUUAGGGUUGUAAAGCUCUUUCAGUGGGGACGAUAAUGACGGUACCCACAGAAGAAGCCCCGGCUAACUUCGUGCCAGCAGCCGCGGUAAUACGAAGGGGGCUAGCGUUGUUCGGAUUUACUGGGCGUAAAGCGCACGUAGGCGGAUCGUUAAGUCGGGGGUGAAAUCCUGGAGCUCAACUCCAGAACUGCCUUCGAUACUGGCGAUCUUGAUUCCGGAAGAGGUGAGCGAAACUCCUAGUGUAGAGGUGGAAUUCGUAGAUAUUAGGAAGAACACCAGUGGCGAAAGCGGCUCACUGGUCCGGUACUGACGCUGAGGUGCGAAAGCGUGGGGAGCAAACAGGAUUAGAAACCCUGGUAGUCC
rnacentral:rRNA from 1 species